CGGGCAGGCAGGCAGCGGCGGGAGCGGGGCCACCCUCCACCCCCGCACCCCUUCCCUCGGCGCCCCCGCCCGCCGGCGCUCCCUUACUCGAUGAAGAAGACUCGCCCGUCCUUGCAGACGCCGUAGGACCAGUGCUCAGAGCCUGUGUAGGUGGACUUCCAUAGAGAAGACCAAAAUAGACGCAGUGUCUCGGCUUACUUUACCACUGAACAGUUCUUCACACCAAAACCCAUUCAGCAGAAGUCCACUUCAACCAGAUUUUGGUGGGUACCAGGACAACAGAGAAGUUCGGAACCAAGGAGGAACAUGGGGAUUGUUCUGCAGAGGGUAAAACAUCAGCCCAGCCU